rnacentral:rRNA from 1 species
UACGUAGGGGGCAAGCGUUGUCCGGAAUUAUUGGGCGUAAAGCGCGCGCAGGCGGCUAUUUAAGUCUUAUGUUUAAAGCCAAGGCUCAACCUUGGAUCGCAUGGGAAACUGGGUAGCUUGAGUGUAGGAGAGGAAAGUGGAAUUCCACGUGUAGCGGUGAAAUGCGUAGAUAUGUGGAGGAACACCAGUGGCGAAGGCGACUUUCUGGCCUAUAACUGACGCUGAGGCGCGAAAGCGUGGGGAGCAAACAGG